rnacentral:rRNA from 1 species
CAGCCGCCACGGUAAUACAGAGGAUUUAAGCGUUAUCCGGAAUGAUUGGGCGUAAAGCGUCUGUAGGUGGCUUUUCAAGUCCGUCGUCAAAUCCCAGGGCUCAACCCUGGACAGGCGGUGGAAACUACCAAGCUGGAGUACGGUAGGGGCAGAGGGAAUUUCCAGUGGAGCGGUGAAAUGCGUUGAGAUCGGAAGGAACGCCCGUGGCGAAAGCGAGGCUCUGGACCCUUUCUGACGCUGAGACGCGAAAGCCAGGGGAGCGAACGGGAUUAGAUACCCGAGUAGUCCCUGUCUCUUAUAA